GAUGAACGCUGGCGGCGUGCCUAAUACAUGCAAGUCGAGCGAAUGGAUUAAGAGCUUGCUCUUAUGAAGUUAGCGGCGGACGGGUGAGUAACACGUGGGUAACCUGCCCAUAAGACUAGGAUAACUCCGGGAAACCGGGGCUAAUACCGGAUAAUAUUUUGAACUGCAUGGUUCAAAAUUGAAAGGCGGCUUCGGCUGUCACUGUUGGAUGGACCCGCGUCGCAUUAGCUAGUUGGUGAGGUAACGGCUCACCAAGGCAACGAUGCGUAGCCGACCUGAGAGGGUGAUCGGCCACACUGGGACUGGGACACGGCCCAGACUCCUACGGGAGGCAGCAGUAGGGAAUCUUCCGCAAUGGACGAAAGUCUGACGGAGCAACGCCGCGUGAGUGAUGAAGGCUUUCGGGUCGUAAAACUCUGUUGUUAGGGAAGAACAAGUGCUAGUUGAAUAAGCUGGCACCUUGACGGUACCUAACCAGAAAGCCACGGCUAACUACGUGCCAGCCGCCGCGGUAA
rnacentral:rRNA from 1 species